rnacentral:rRNA from 1 species
GGACUACCAGGGUAUCUAAUCCUGUUUGCUCCCCUAGCCUUCGCGCAUCAGCGUCAGGAACUGUCCAGAGAUCCGCCUUCGCCACUGGUCUUCCUCACGAUAUCUACGCAUUUCACUGCUACACCGUGAAUUCCGAUCUCCUCUCCAGUCCUCUAGCAGAGCAGUAUCCAGUGCAAUUUCGGAGUUGAGCUCCGAGAUUUCACACCAGACUUACCCCGCCGCCUACGCGCCCUUUACGCCCAAUGAAUCCGAACAACGCUCGAGACCUCUGUAUUACCGCGGCGGCUGGCAC